AAAUUCCCCGACACAUGUCAGGCAAAGUGCGUGCGGGGUUGGAAUAAAAACGUAUGCGUUUGACUGAAGAGCGUUUGUUCUUCCCCUCAGGCUCCUCCGGCGCGCACAGCAAGGCUCUGAUCCAACGGCGGAGGACAAGCUGGAAAGGCGCCAACCCGCCGCGUCUGUCCGUGUGCGACGUCGUAAAGCGCGCCUGGUUAACGCCCGCGCGUGGAUUUAGAAGCGGGAAUGACGUCAUGUUAAUGCGGUGUAAAUCUUGUGAGUAAAUGGAAUCGUGCUGCAAAUGGUGACAUACUAAAUGUACACCCGUGCCCUGCUUGGUGCUGAGUCGUUUUAGCGCUCUUGGUCCUGGAGUCCAAGGCUCACAGGAGAAUAAUCCAGGCGUCUCCUGUCUAAACUCAGAGCUGAAACGCUGGAAUUUCAGAAACCUCUUCCCAUUCUCAGGUCUAGAAAGCCUGCACUCCAGAAUACCAAAGGAUGUGUCACAAUCAACAUACGUAAAACCCAGACGGAGACACAAGAGAUUGCAAAUGCUGGAAUAUGGAGAAAAACACCAAAUGCUGGAGGAACUGAGUGGGUCAGGCAGCAUCUAUGGAGGAAAAUGGACAGUCAACGGUUCGAGUCAAGACCCUUCAUCUGUACUACAUAAAACCCAGAUUUAAACUGUUUAAAAACCUAGUGGAAAUGCCAGAACAUCUAGUGCAGAAAGAAUUUCUGA